rnacentral:rRNA from 1 species
GGCCUUCGGGUUGUAAACCUCUUUUAGCAGGGAAGAAGCGAAAGUGACGGUACCUGCAGAAAAAGCGCCGGCUAACUACGUGCCAGCAGCCGCGGUAAUACGUAGGGCGCAAGCGUUAUCCGGAAUUAUUGGGCGUAAAGAGCUCGUAGGCGGUUUGUCGCGUCUGCUGUGAAAUCCCGAGGCUCAACCUCGGGCCUGCAGUGGGUACGGGCAGACUAGAGUGCGGUAGGGGAGAUUGGAAUUCCUGGUGUAGCGGUGGAAUGCGCAGAUAUCAGGAGGAACACCGAUGGCGAAGGCAGAUCUCUGGGCCGUAACUGACGCUGAGGAGCGAAAGGGUGGGGAGCAAACAGGCUUAGAUACCCUGGUAGUCCACCCCGUAAACGUUGGGAACUAGUUGUGGGGUCCAUUCCACGGAUUCCGUGACGCAGCUAACGCAUUAAGUUCCCCGCCUGGGGAGUACGGCCGCAAGGCUAAAACUCAAAGGAAUUGACGGGGACCCGCACAAGCGGCGGAGCAUGCGGAUUAAUUCGAUGCAACGCGAAGAACCUUACCAAGGCUUGACAUAUACGAGAACGGGCCAGAAAUGGUCAACUCUUUGGACACUCGUAAACAGGUGGUGCAUGGUUGUCGUCAGCUCGUGUCGUGAGAUGUUGGGUUAAGUCCCGCAACGAGCGCAACCCUCGUUCUAUGUUGCCAGCACGUAAUGGUGGGAACUCAU